UGGAUCUGCAGGCAUGUCCACCCCAGCAGUAACGCUGAGUGUGAGAUUCCUAAGCAAUGCAAGGUGACCAAUUAAAUGGACUUGAUCAACAUAGUACAAAGACUGGGAUUUCUGAAUUGCUAUACUUAAUACUUUCUGACAUAAUCUCCUAAGGAGAAAUAAAGGCAUUGCAGCAUUCAAUAAGGGUUCUCCAUGGGCACCCCUUUGUCAUGCAUCAAAUUCUAAUACAUUUGGCUUACCUGAGAUGAGAGUUAGGAAGCAAGAAAGAGCAAAGCCUACAGGAAGAAGAUUGCAGUUUCUUGCCAGUCCAAAGCAAUUUUCAUGUUGCGUCACAGUUAACUUUCAAAAAUCGCUGUUCUGAUCUUCUGCCACCCACGUCAAGCCUGUGAUGUGUCGCCACUGCCUUCAAGAUUUUCCACUGGGAGAUGGACUGGUUAUGACCCAGAUCACAAAGCAAGCUUCAUUCUUCACUCCUUUACUCGAGGUUUGCCAUUUAAAUGAAUGAUUUUGUGUCUCCAUUUCUUCUUUGCUUAUUGGAACAUGUUGUUUGUUAAACACUCCACUCACGUGUGACCUCGUCUCUGGAAGACUUCCCUUAGGGAGACAAUCAUAAAGAUUUCUUUCCUUUAUAUUUUCAGACUACGUUACUUUUCUAUUUAUUUAGCAUAUAUAUUAUUCUGCCUUGUAUCAAAAGCCAUUGCUUCUUUUUUAAAACUUACCUCAUUAGUUUAUAUGUUCUUUAAGAGCUAACGUUAAGAUUUACUAUAAUUCCCUUCCCCACGUGGUCCCCCAUGACUGACAUCCAGAAAUAAAUGCUUUGUAAAUCUACAUUGAUUGAAAUCCAACGUCUAAAACUCAUUAACAUAAAUGAGUAAUUUCAGUACCAUUCAGCCUUCACUAUCUGCGAAGCUUUUAUGAUUAUCUUUCUCCAGGUCAGUGACAUCUUAUUCAAUUUCUCUCUGGUCUUUUGACCUAUCAUUUAGAAAUCUAGUCUCUGGUGGGUUACAUGUCACCUGAUCAAUGU